GCCGGUGUGGCUCAGUGGGUAAAGUGUCAGCCUGUGGACCGAAGAGUCCCAGGUUCAAUUCCGGGCAAGGGCA
rfam:Myotis brandtii contig211100, whole genome shotgun sequence.